AUACCGUGAAACUGCGAAUGGCUCAUUAAAUCAGUUAUCGUUUAUUUGAUAGUACCUUACUACUUGGAUAACCGUGGUAAUUCUAGAGCUAAUACAUGCUAAAAACCCCAACUUCGGGAGGGGUGUAUUUAUUAGAUAAAAAACCAAUGCCCUUCGGGGCUCCUUGGUGAUUCAUAAUAACUUAACGGAUCGCAUGGCCUUGCGCCGGCGACGGUUCAUUCAAAUUUCUGCCCUAUCAACUUUCGAUGGUAAGGUAUUGGCUUACCAUGGUUUCAACGGGUAACGGGGAAUUAGGGUUCGAUUCCGGAGAGGGAGCCUGAGAAACGGCUACCACAUCCAAGGAAGGCAGCAGGCGCGCAAAUUACCCAAUCCCGACACGGGGAGGUAGUGACAAUAAAUACUGAUACAGGGCUCUUUUGGGUCUUGUAAUCGGAAUGAGUACAAUUUAAACCCCUUAACGAGGAACAAUUGGAGGGCAAGUCUGGUGCCAGCAGCCGCGGUAAUUCCAGCUCCAAUAGCGUAUAUUAAAGUUGUUGCAGUUAAAAAGCUCGUAGUUGAACCUUGGGCCUGGCUGGCCGGUCCGCCUCACCGCGUGUACUGGUCCGGCCGGGCCUUUCCUUCUGGAGAUCCUCAUGCCCUUCACUGGGUGUGUUGGGGAACCAGGACUUUUACUGUGAACAAAUUAGAGUGUUCAAAGCAGGCCUUUGCUCGAAUACAUUAGCAUGGAAUAAUAGAAUAGGACGUGCGGUCCUAUUUUGUUGGUUUCUAGGACCGCCGUAAUGAUUAAUAGGGAUAGUCGGGGGCAUCAGUAUUCAAUUGUCAGAGGUGAAAUUCUUGGAUUUAUUGAAGACUAACUACUGCGAAAGCAUUUGCCAAGGAUGUUUUCAUUAAUCAGUGAACGAAAGUUAGGGGAUCGAAGACGAUCAGAUACCGUCGUAGUCUUAACCGUAAACUAUGCCGACUAGGGAUCGGGCGAUGUUUCUAUCUUGACUCGCUCGGCACCUUACG
rnacentral:rRNA from 1 species